rnacentral:rRNA from 1 species
UACGUAGGGGGCUAGCGUUAUCCGGAAUUACUGGGCGUAAAGGGUACGUAGGUGGUUUCUUAAGUCAGAGGUGAAAGGCUACGGCUCAACCGUAGUAAGCCUUUGAAACUGGGAAACUUGAGUGCAGGAGAGGAGAGUGGAAUUCCUAGUGUAGCGGUGAAAUGCGUAGAUAUUAGGAGGAACACCAGUUGCGAAGGCGGCUCUCUGGACUGUAACUGACACUGAGGCACGAAAGCGUGGGGAGCAAACAGG